rnacentral:lncRNA from 1 species
AAAAGAAAUCUAGCAGCAUCUUAUUGGGUGGAUUAAAGAAAAUAAAUUUUGGAGAAUGGUUAUGAAUCAAAUAAUACAAUAAGGUAUUCAGUGAGAUGGGAUAGAAAAAAGUGCUGAAUUCACUGCUCAUCUCAUUCUCUUUAGAUUAUAUUUUUAAAAAAGAAUGUCAGAAGAAAUAAUAGAUAUGCACUCUACUUCUUAAUUUGUUGUUGUUUUUGUUUGCAGCUUCUCUCCCCAGGAAGUCUUGAAAAGAGAAAAAUAUACUAGUUUGCAGUUCAUCAACCUUUUUCUUCUAGUGAAUGUAGAGGGAAAAGGACAGAUGACUGCAGAUGCUCUUGAGGAACUUAAUCAUGUGACACAG